AACGAACGCUGGCGGCAUGCCUAACACAUGCAAGUCGAACGAAGGCUUCGGCCUUAGUGGCGCACGGGUGCGUAACGCGUGGGAAUCUGCCCUUUGGUUCGGAAUAACAGCUGGAAACGGCUGCUAAUACCGGAUGAUGACGAAAGUCCAAAGAUUUAUCGCCAGAGGAUGAGCCCGCGUUGGAUUAGGUAGUCGGUGGGGUAAAGGCCUACCAAGCCGACGAUCCAUAGCUGGUCUGAGAGGAUGAUCAGCCACACUGGGACUGAGACACGGCCCAGACUCCUACGGGAGGCAGCAGUGGGGAAUAUUGGACAAUGGGCGCAAGCCUGAUCCAGCAAUGCCGCGUGAGUGAUGAAGGCCCUAGGGUUGUAAAGCUCUUUUACCCGGGAAGAUAAUGACUGUACCGGGAGAAUAAGCCCCGGCUAACUCCGUG
rnacentral:rRNA from 1 species